GCCGGGCGUGGUGGCGCGCGCCUGUAGUCCCAGCUACCUUGGGGGCUGAGGUGGGAGGAUCGCUUGAGCCUGGGAGGUUGAGACUGCAGUGAGCCAAGAUUGCACCACUGUGCUCCCACCUGGGCAACAGUGAGACCCUGUCUCAA
ensembl:misc_RNA Metazoa_SRP Metazoan signal recognition particle RNA